rnacentral:rRNA from 1 species
GAUGAACGCUGGCGGCGUGCCUAAUACAUGCCAGUCGAGCGAACAGACGAGGAGCUUGCUCCUCUGACGUUAGCGGCGGACGGGUGAGUAACACGUGGAUAACCUACCUAUAAGACUGGGAUAACUUCGGGAAACCGGAGCUAAUACCGGAUAAUAUAUUGAACCGCAUGGCUCAAUAGUGAAAGACGGUUUUGCUGUCACUUAUAGAUGGAUCCGCGCCGCAUUAGCUAGUUAGUAAGGUAACGGCUUACCAAGGCAACGAUGCGUAGCCGACCUGAGAGGGUGAUCGGCCACACUGGAACUGAGACACGGUCCAGACUCCUACGGGAGGCAGCAGUAGGGAAUCUUCCGCAAUGGGCGAAAGCCUGACGGAGCAACGCCGCGUGAGUGAUGAAGGUCUUCGGAUCGUAAAACUCUGUUAUUAGGGAAGAACAAAUGUGUAAGUAACUAUGCACGUCUUGACGGUACCUAAUCAGAAAGCCACGGCUAACUACGUG